AUUGAACGCUGGCGGCAGGCCUAACACAUGCAAGUCGAGCGGAGCGGCGGACGGGUGAGUAAUGCCUAGAAAUCUGCCUGGUAGUGGGGGAUAACGUCCGGAAACGGGCGCUAAUACCGCAUACUAUCAGAUGAGCCUAGGUCGGAGUAGCUAGUUGGUGGGGUAAAGUCUUACCAAGCCGACGAUCCGUAACUGGUCUGAGAGGAUGAUCAGUCAACAUGGAAAUGAGACAAGGUCCAGACUCCUACGGGAGGCAGCAGUGGGGAAUAUUGGAAAAUGGGCGAAAGCCUGAUCCAGCCAGGCAGCGUGUGGGAAGAAGGUCUUCGGAUUGUAAAGCACUUUAAGUUGGGAGGCGUUACCAACAGAAUAAGCACCGGCUAACUUCGUGCCAGCCGCCGCGGUAAUUC
rnacentral:rRNA from 1 species